rnacentral:rRNA from 1 species
AAUUUAACGCUGGCGGCAUACCUUACACAUGCAAGUCGAACGGCAGCGCGGACUUCGGUCCGGCGGCGAGUGGCGAACGGGUGAGUAAUGUAUCGGAACGUGCCCUAGAGUGGGGGAUAACGUAGCGAAAGUUACGCUAAUACCGCAUACGAUCUAUGGAUGAAAGUGGGGGACCGCAAGGCCUCACGCUCAUGGAGCGGCCGAUAUCUGAUUAACUAGUUGGUAGGGUAAAAGCCUACCAAGGCGAUCGAUCAGUAGCUGGUCUGAGAGGACGACCAGCCACACUGGGACUGAGACACGGCCCAGACUCCUACGGGAGGCAGCACUGGGGAAUUUUGGACAAUGGGGGAAACCCUGAUCCAGCAAUGCCGCGUGUGUGAAGAAGGCCUUCGGGUUGUAAAGCACUUUUGUCAGGAGGGAAACGCGUGGGGGUUAAUAUCAUCUGUUAAUGACGGUACCUGAAGAAUAAGCACCGGCUAACUACGUGCCAGCAGCCGCGGUAAUACGUAGGGUGCGAGCGUUAAUCGGAAUUACUGGGCGUAAAGCGUGCGCAGGCGGUUAUGCAAGACAGAUGUGAAAUCCCCGGGCUUAACCUGGGAAUUGCAUUUGUGACUGCACGGCUAGAGUGUGUCAGAGGGGGGUAGAAUUCCACGUGUAGCAGUGAAAUGCGUAGAUAUGUGGAGGAAUACCGAUGGCGAAGGCAGCCCCCUGGGAUAACAC